AUAGCUGGAAACAAAUCAAUAACAGCGUGAUAGGUAGAACUUUCAUUUCGACACACUCCCAGUCCGAAACCGAACUGGGAUGCAUUCUAGUUCAAGGCCAACGAUGGGUUCACUUACAGGUCCAAACUCCUAGCUAGAACUGCACAAUCACCUUAUUCAGUUCGAACACAAAGCACAAUGCUCAAGCAACUGAUAAGAUGUGUCAUGUAGGCACUUAUGAACAAUUGAUAAUAGAUCCAACUGGAUUACAAAAGCGCUAUGAUAACAUUCCACUGCGCGGUUAAAAACGUGAGAAGACAAAGGCAGUAAGUUUAUGGUGUAAAAUCUAUCUCUGAUCCUGCUGCAGUUGGAAAACUGACAGCACACGAUUACGAUUCAGUUUAUCACGGCGCGGGACACACACGGAAUUUGCGAGCAAAUUAAACAUCGACAGCACUGCCGUCGUCAAGUCACUCAUCACGAGUGCCAUUUGUCGCCGGUUCGUCGACGUUGCAGUGGCCGGAGUUGAAAAUCGAAAAACUGCUGGGAAGGAAAGGUUAAAAACAAAUCAAAGCAAACAGGGCAAACAGUCGUAGAAAAGUUGUGUUUCUCUGAAAAUUGAAGUGAAAAAAUCGUUGCCAAGUAGCUGAAACUAAUCAACAAGAGUUAGAAAAUUUUCAUACCGUUUUUUCUCGCGGAGGAGCAGAACCUGUUUGAGUUUCGUUAGAUAACUCUUUUAGAAGAAAUUUUCCAAUAAUAUGGACAACUUACCUGGAGAUGAAGAAAUCAUUUCACAGCAGGUUCAUAUCUUCCUCCAGCAGAUUUGUUAUGAGCAUCUUUUGGUCUUAAUGCCAACAACUUGACACCCCGCCUAAUGAAGUUUUCCAGCUUCUGAAAUCAUGAAGAAAAGUGAAUUUUCGGAGUUUAAACGCUCGCUUCUGACAGUCAAAGUGCAGCACGGUCUUCCCGAUUUUCGUCCCUUCCUAGAUGAAGCUUCAAAAAGGUGCUAGUAUGGUUCCGGAUUCCACCACCAUAAUGGUCAAUGUUUCGCCAUUAACCGUGGUUAGUUCAUGGUAACGGUUCCCCAUUGACCGGAUGCUUCUGGGCGGGGAAUUGUUUACACCGUCCGUUUUGGAUUUGUAUUGGAACGGAUUCGACAAGGGAGCAAUCAAAUAAUAUCGAGUUAUGAUCUGAUUGUUUUAUCU